GACGAACGCUGGCGGCGUGCCUAAUACAUGCAAGUAGAACGCUGAAGGAGGAGCUUGCUCUUCUGGAAGAGUUGCGAACGGGUGAGUAACGCGUAGGUAACCUGCCUGGUAGCGGGGGAUAACUAUUGGAAACGAUAGCUAAUACCGCAUAAGAUUGAAUAUCGCAUGAUAAUUGAUUAAAAGAUGCAAAUGCAUCACUACCAGAUGGACCUGCGUUGUAUUAGCUAGUAGGUGAGGUUACGGCUCACCUAGGCGACGAUACAUAGCCGACCUGAGAGGGUGAUCGGCCACACUGGGACUGAGACACGGCCCAGACUCCUACGGGAGGCAGCAGUAGGGAAUCUUCGGCAAUGGGGGCAACCCUGACCGAGCAACGCCGCGUGAGUGAAGAAGGUUUUCGGAUCGUAAAGCUCUGUUGUAAGAGAAGAACGAGUGUGAGAGUGGAAAGUUCACACUGUGACGGUAUCUUACCAGAAAGGGACGGCUAACUACGUGCCAGCAGCCGCGGUAAUACGUAGGUCCCGAGCGUUGUCCGGAUUUAUUGGGCGUAAAGCGAGCGCAGGCGGUUAGAUAAGUCUGAAGUUAAAGGCUGUGGCUUAACCAUAGUACGCUUUGGAAACUGUUUAACUUGAGUGCAGAAGGGGAGAGUGGAAUUCCAUGUGUAGCGGUGAAAUGCGUAGAUAUAUGGAGGAACACCGGUGGCGAAAGCGGCUCUCUGGUCUGUAACUGACGCUGAGGCUCGAAAGCGUGGGGAGCGAACAGGAUUAGAUACCCUGGUAGUCCACGCCGUAAACGAUGAGUGCUAGGUGUUAGGCCCUUUCCGGGGCUUAGUGCCGUAGCUAACGCAUUAAGCACUCC
rnacentral:rRNA from 1 species